rnacentral:lncRNA from 1 species
GCAUAACCACCUUCCCGUACAACUUACACUUAAUAAAGGGAAAAUAACAAGAGGGAAACAGCGUGGCAAAUUCUAUUUAUACUAAACGCAUCGUUUAACUUAUCCCCCACUACGCCCCGUUUAGUUGUUCUAUUAAAACUCCUUGUUUUAUUUAAAAGACUAGUUGUUUCGACUAAUUUCUUCUUUUCACAUUCUCUGAUUACUUUCUAGCCCGUAACAAUACUCCCCCUAAAAAUAAGAUCCUUGUCCUCAAGGAUGGAAAUGAAGAAAUUUAGAUUGAAUCAUGGCUAGCGACUCCCACGUCGCAUCUUCCGAAAACGAAUUAAUCCAUUCAACUAACACUUCUGUAACAACUUGGUUUCCUUUCUUAACAAUCCUUCUGUCCACAAUUCGGGUUGGUUCCUUCUGCAAUGCACCAUGAACAUCCACCAGUGGCAGUUGAGGUUGAAUAGGUGCCGAGCCAAAAUGUUUUUUUCAGAUGCGAAACAUGAAAGGUUGGAUGAAUACGAGACCCUUGAGAGAGCUGGAGAGUGUAUGCCACAUUUCCC